rnacentral:tRNA from 1 species
GGAAAGAUGGCUCAGAGGUUAAGAGCACUGACUAUUCUUCCAGAGAACCCUGGGUUCAAUUCCCAGUACCCCCA